rnacentral:rRNA from 1 species
UGGAUUCGGCUUACGGGGGGCAGCAGGCGCGAAACCUUUACACUGCACGCAAGUGUGAUAAGGGAACUCCAAGUGCUUAUGCUUUGCAUAGGCUUUUGCCAAGAGUAAAAAUCUUGGCGAAUAAGUGGUGGGUAAGACGGGUGCCAGCAGCCGCGGUAACACCUGCGCCACGAGUGGCAACCGCGAUUAUUGGGCCUAAAGCGUCCGUAGCUGGUUUGUUAAAUCUUUUGUGAAAUCGUUGGGCUCAACUCAACGGCGUGCAGAAGACACUGAUAGACUCGGAACCGGAAGGAGUCAGAAGUAUUCUGGGGGGAGCGGUAAAAUGCUAUAAUCCUCAGAGGACUACCUGUGGCGAAGGCGUCUGACUAGGACGAAUUCGACAGUGAGGGACGAAAGCCAGGGGAGCGAACCGGAUUAGAUAUCAAAAAUUCUCUGAAUUUUUGAGUUUAGUCAAAAAUUAUCUUUGUUCGUUAACACUACUAAAAGAUAAUUUGAAACUAAGCUGGUAUGUGAAUUUUUGACUAAUUACCCGAGUAGUCCUGGCUGUAAACGCUGUGAGCAAGGUGUUGCAUAUUCCCCGAGAAUGUGCAGUGUCGAAGAGAAGUCGUUAAGCUCACCGCCUGGGAAGUACGGUCGCAAGACUAAACUAAAGA